rnacentral:rRNA from 1 species
AGAGUUUGAUCCUGGCUCAGAUUGAACGCUGGCGGCAUGGCUAAAGCAUGCAAGUCGAACGAGAACCGGCUUCGGCCGGGGACAGUGGCGGAAGGGCGAGGAAUACGAUCGAACGUGCCCCGAGGUGGGGGAUAGCCGCGGGAAACUGCGGGUAAUACCCCAUGUGCUCUUCGGAGGAAAGGUUUACCGCCUUGGGAGCGGCGAUCGUCCUAUCAGGUAGUUGGCGGGGUAACGGCCCACCAAGCCGAAGACGGGUAGCGGGUGUGAGAGCACGACCCGCCGCAUCGGGACUGAGACACUGCCCGGACUCCUACGGGAGGCUGCAGCGACGAAUCUUCCGCAAUGGGCGCAAGCCUGACGGAGCAAUGCCGCGUGCGGGAUGAAGCGGCUUCGCCGUGUAAACCGCUGUCAGGUCCCAGGAACACUGACCGGGACCAGAGGAAGGGCCGGCUAACCUC